GACGAACGCUGGCGGCGUGCCUAAUACAUGCAAGUAGAACGCUGAAGCUUGGUGCUUGCACCGAGCGGAUGAGUUGCGAACGGGUGAGUAACGCGUAGGUAACCUGCCUGGUAGCGGGGGAUAACUAUUGGAAACGAUAGCUAAUACCGCAUAAUAGUAGAUGUUGCAUGACAUUUGCUUAAAAGGUGCAAUUGCAUCACUACCAGAUGGACCUGCGUUGUAUUAGCUAGUUGGUGAGGUAACGGCUCACCAAGGCAACGAUACAUAGCCGACCUGAGAGGGUGAUCGGCCACACUGGGACUGAGACACGGCCCAGACUCCUACGGGAGGCAGCAGUAGGGAAUCUUCGGCAAUAGACGGAAGUCUGACCGAGCAACGCCGCGUGAGUGAAGAAGGUUUUCGGAUCGUAAAGCUCUGUUGUAAGAGAAGAACGAGUGUGAGAGUGGAAAGUUCACACUGUGACGGUAUCUGACCAGAAAGGGACGGCUAACUACGUG
rnacentral:rRNA from 1 species